AAUCCCUCUCUCUCCG
rnacentral:tRNA from 1 species